rnacentral:tRNA from 1 species
GGCCUCGUAGCUCAGUUGACUAGAGCGCUGGCUCUACUAAAGCCUUCCCCUUGCUGGCGUGGGUUCGAAUCUCACCGAAGCCG